rnacentral:rRNA from 1 species
CCUCGGUGGAGGGCCUGGCUUGGUGGCAGCGCAUGGUUACCAACCUCUUCGUGCAGCGCCUGCUCUCGCAUAGUCUACUCCCGAAGGAACCAAGUCCCUUCUGCUGCCGUCGUCCCUACUCCAGCUCCGCCUCGAGCUUGACCUUCCGUCACCCGCAGCAUUUAGGCUCGAGCCCCACCCCUUCCACCACCGCCUCCCACCCUACCCCGUCCCGGCCGCCACACGUUCGCGGUCUCGUACCCGCCAUGAACCCACGGCUGCUGGAGGUCGGUAGGUCGACGCCGCUCGCCACCUGGUGCUGCGGGUCCGACGUAUCGUUCGUUAGCUCUCCCCCCCUCCACCGCUCGUCGCCUGGAGGUCGCCGCUGCUCGCCGCCUGGUGAUGUGGCCGCCCCGUGGGAUUAAGAAAACUUACCUAGCCCCUUCUAUCCCCUCCGCGCUCACCCUCCUCUACCCUCGCUAAGGCAGCUAGGUGCCGAGGGGUCGUUCGUGCCGAGCUCCUACCGCAUCGAGAGCCGCUCCGCCUCAAGGACCAGAGGAGCCCCUCCUCCACCAGGUCGACACCUGGCGCCACCCGCUCCACCCAGCCGCCAACAACUCGACGCGUCCACCCGCCGCCACCAACGGAGGAAGCGUUGUCGCGUCCUCCCGCCGCCGUCGCCGCCGCCGCCGCAUCAACCCUCUGCGUGCACCACCGGCCGCGCCACCCCUCUCCUCCCCCUCUCUGACUCUCCCUGUAGCCGGUUGCGGUAGCGCCCCCUCUCCUCCCCCUAUCUCACUCACCGACCCUCCC